rnacentral:rRNA from 1 species
GACGAACGCUGGCGGCGUGCUUAACACAUGCAAGUCGAACGGUGCAGCUCCAGCUUGCUGGAGUGGAUCAGUGGCGAACGGGUGAGUAACACGUGAGCAACCUGCCCCUGACUCUGGAAUAAGCGCUGGAAACGGCGUCUAAUACUGGAUACGAGAAGGGUCCGCAUGGGCACCUUCUGGAAAGUUUUUCGGUUGGGGAUGGGCUCGCGGCCUAUCAGCUUGUUGGUGGGGUAAUGGCUCACCAAGGCGACGACGGGUAGCCGGCCUGAGAGGGCGACCGGCCACACUGGGACUGAGACACGGCCCAGACUCCUCCGGGAGGCAGCAGUGGGGAAGAUUGCCCAAUGGGCGAAAGCCUGAUGCAGCGACGCCGCGUGGGGGAAGACAGCCUUCGGGUUGGAAACCUCUUUCAGCAGGGAAGAAGCGAAAGUGACGGUACCUGCAGAAGAAGCACCGGCUAACUACGUG